GAUUUCAACUGAAAAAGUCAUCAACAACAAAGUUGUAUAACUCAUCAGGAUCUAUAACUUUUAUUUUGGUCAUUUCUUCAUCCAACAAAGUUAUCUAUAACAUUGUUCACAAAAUGUAUAUCUCUUAUAUAGUUUUAUAAACUAUGGAGAGAGAUAUGUAAAUUUUGUGAAAAUGUUUCCAUCACUUUGUCAGAUGAGGAAAUGAAUAUAAUAUAAGUUAUAGAUCUUGAUGAGUUAUACAAAUUUGUUGUUGAUGACUUUUUCAUCUGAAUUC
rnacentral:pre_miRNA from 1 species